rnacentral:tRNA from 1 species
AGGUGGGUAGCCAAGUAGUAAGGCAGCUAUUUUAUUCCUUAUUCGCUCACUUGCCCAUCAGGGACGUAGAACGAGGAUUAUCGAGGUUUAGCCAUCGCAGGUGCAAUUCCUGCCCCACCUA